GGUUUAACGGUUAACCCGUCGACCCCCCAAAAGGUGGGGGAAAUAACCCGGCGAAAGUCGGGCUAAUACCGCAUAUGAUCCUUCGGGAUUAAAGCCUUCGGGCGCUUUGGGAGGGGCUUGCGUCUGAUUAGCUAGUUGGUAAGGUAACGGCUUACCAAGGCUAUGAUCAGUAGCUGGUUCGAGAGGAUGACCAGCCACACUGGGACUGAGAUACGGCCCAG
rnacentral:rRNA from 1 species